GGGGGCGUUACGGAUUCGACAGGUAUAGUUCGAGCUUUGGUUGCGUUCCGUAGGUUACGUCUACGUAAAAACGUUACAGUUAAAUAUAACUGCUAAAAACGAAAACAAUACUUUCGCUUUAGCUGCCUAAAAACAGCGAGCGAAGAUCCUCUCGGCAUCGCCCAUGUGCUCGAGUAAGGGUCCUAACUAAAGUGGGAUACGUUAAAUUUUUCCGUCUGCAAAAUUUAAAAGAGUUUAUCAGACUAGCAAAGAUGUCUGUUUGUUUUGUGUCAUAAAUCUUAGCGAAACUUAAACACUAAACUAUGAGCGUAGAUACUAGGGUGGCGAUAUAUUUGGACGCGGGUUCGACUCCCGCCGCCUCCAUAU
rnacentral:tmRNA from 1 species